GACGAACGCUGGCGGCGUGCUUAACACAUGCAAGUCGAACGGAAAGGCCUUUUCGGAGGUACUCGAGUGGCGAACGGGUGAGUAACACGUGGGUGAUCUGCCCUGCACUCUGGGAUAAGCCUGGGAAACUGGGUCUAAUACCGGAUAGGACCGCACUUUAGUGUGUGUGGUGGAAAGUUUUUUCGGUGUAGGAUGAGCCCGCGGCCUAUCAGCUUGUUGGUGGGGUAAUGGCCUACCAAGGCGGCGACGGGUAGCCGGACUGAGAGGUUGGUCGGCCACAUUGGGACUGAGAUACGGCCCAGACUCCUACGGGAGGCAGCAGUGGGGAAUAUUGCACAAUGGGCGCAAGCCUGAUGCAGCGACGCCGCGUGGGGGAUGACGGCCUUCGGGUUGUAAACUCCUUUCGCCAGGGACGAAGCGUUUUGUAACGGUACCUGGAGAAGAAGCACCGGCUAACUACGUG
rnacentral:rRNA from 1 species